rnacentral:rRNA from 2 species
UGCAGUCGAGCGGAAGGCCCUUCGGGGUACUCGAGCGGCGAACGGGUGAGUAACACGUGAGCAACCUGCCCCAGGCUUUGGGAUAACCCCGGGAAACCGGGGCUAAUACCGAAUAUGACCUCCGAUCGCAUGGUUGGUGGUGGAAAGUUUUUCGGCUUGGGAUGGGCUCGCGGCCUAUCAGCUUGUUGGUGGGGUGAUGGCCUACCAAGGCGACGACGGGUAGCCGGCCUGAGAGGGCGACCGGCCACACUGGGACUGAGACACGGCCCAGACUCCUACGGGAGGCAGCAGUGGGGAAUAUUGCACAAUGGGCGGAAGCCUGAUGCAGCGACGCCGCGUGAGGGAUGACGGCCUUCGGGUUGUAAACCUCUUUCAGCAGGGACGAAGCGUAAGUGACGGUACCUGCAGAAGAAGCGCCGGCCAACUACGUGCCAGCAGCCGCGGUAAGACGUAGGGCGCGAGCGUUGUCCGGAUUUAUUGGGCGUAAAGAGCUCGUAGGCGGCUUGUCGCGUCGACUGUGAAAACCCGCAGCUCAACUGCGGGCCUGCAGUCGAUACGGGCAGGCUAGAGUUCGGUAGGGGAGACUGGAAUUCCUGGUGUAGCGGUGAAAUGCGCAGAUAUCAGGAGGAACACCGGUGGCGAAGGCGGGUCUCUGGGCCGAUACUGACGCUGAGGAGCGAAAGCGUGGGGAGCGAACAGGAUUAGAUACCCUGGUAGUCCACGCUGUAAACGUUGGGCGCUAGGUGUGGGGGGCCUCUCCGGUUCCCUGUGCCGCAGCUAACGCAUUAAGCGCCCCGCCUGGGGAGUAC